UUUCAUUCUGCCCCAGAUAUAGAAAAAAUUCAUCUUAAUUAUUGUAAAAACAUACUUAAUGUUAAAAGGGGCACAUCUAAUGCAGUUAUUUAUUGUGAAUUGGGCAGAAUGCCUCUGCAAUGUAUCAGAAAAAUACGUAUUUUAAGAUAUUGGAUGAAACUUUUAUCAUCAAGAAAUUGCAUUUUGAAUUCAUGUUAUGUUAAUAUGUAUAAUGAAACUUUAGGUAAAAACAAAUGUAAAAACUGGGCUGCAGAGAUCAAGAAUAUGUUAACAAGUAUUGGGCUAAUGAACUUAUGGGAAAACCAAUUUUUUGAAAAGCCAGAAAUUAUUUUAACGAUCGCCAAGCAACGUAUUUUUGAUAAUUUUAAACAGUCUUUACUAGCUGACAUAAAUGCCUCUUCCAAAUGUACAAUCUAUAGAUAUUUAGUUGAUCAUUGUACCUUGCAGUCAUAUCUAACAAAAAGAAUUCCUUUACAAUAUAAGAAACUUAUAUGUAAAUUAAGAUUAUCAUCCCAUUGUCUUACCAUCGAAACUGGCAGAUAUAACAAUGUUCCAUUACAAAGACGUUUAUGUCCUCUAUGUACUUUAGAUAUAGAAGAUGAAUAUCAUUUUAUAUUGAAAUGUCCCUAUUACUGUAACUUAAGAGAAAAAUUCCUUAAGAAGUUUUAUUAUAUUAAACCCUCUGUCUUUAAAUUAAUUCUAUUAUUGUCAACACAAAAUGUAAAGGAUUUGUGCAAUUUAGGUAAAUAUAUUAAGAAUGCUUUUGUAAUCAGAAAACUUCAUGUAUAAACUUGCCUUUUUCAAGUGACCAGUAUAUGUAUUAUAACAUGUGUAUAUUAAUUGUAUAUGUCUAUGAGCUGUACAGCUGUUGACUAAUAAACAAUACAAUAC
rnacentral:sRNA from 1 species